GAUGAACGCUAGCGGCAGGCCUAACACAUGCAAGUCGAGGGGUAACAUAGAAAAGCUUGCUUUUCUGAUGACGACCGGCGCACGGGUGCGUAACGCGUAUACAACCUACCUUUUAGCGGGGAAUAGCCCAGGGAAACUUGGAUUAAUGCCUCAUAGUAUAUAAGCUUCUCCUGAAGUUUAUAUUAAACAUUUAUGGCUAUUAGAUGGGUAUGCGUCCUAUUAGCUAGUUGGUGUGGUAACGGCACACCAAGGCUACGAUAGGUAGGGGUCCUGAGAGGGAGAUCCCCACACUGGUACUGAGACACGGACCAGACUCCUACGGGAGGCAGCAGUGAGGAAUAUUGGACAAUGGGCGAGAGCCUGAUCCAGCCAUGCCGCGUGCAGGAAGACUGCCCUAUGGGUUGUAAACUGCUUUUACAGAGGAAGAACCACCCCCACGUGUGGGGGUUUGACGGUACUCUGCGAAUAAGGAUCGGCUAACUCCGUG
rnacentral:rRNA from 1 species